GGCCGGACAAUACUGUCAAGCUAGAGGGCAUCAGAGGGGAGUGGAAUUCCCGGAGUAGCGGUAAAAUGCGCAGAUAUCGGGAGGAACACCAAUGGCGAAGGCAGCUCCCUGGGAUGUACCUGACACUGAGGGGCGAAAGCUAGGGGAGCGAACAGGAUUAGAGACCCUGGUAGUCCUAGCUGUAAACGCUGGGUGCUAGGUGUGGGGCGUAGAAGUUCCGUGCCGGAGCAAACGCGAUAAGCAUCCCGCCUGGGAAUUACGGUCGCAAGGCUAAAACUCAAACGAAUUGACGGGGCCCCGCACAAGCAGCGGAGCGUGUGGUUCAAUUCGAUGCUACACGAAGAACCUUACCUGGGUUUGACAUGUACGUGGUACGGCGGCGAAAGCCAAAGGACCCUUCGGGGAGCGUACACAGGUGCUGCAUGGCUGUCGUCAGCUCGUGCCGUGAGGUGUCGGGUUAAGUCCCGUAACGAGCGCAACCCUUGCCCUUAGCUACAAGUGUCUAGGGGGACUGCCGGCGGGAAGCCGGAGGAAGGUGGGGAUGACGUCAAGUCAGCAUGGCCCAUAUGUCCAGGGCUACACACACGCUACAAUGGUCAGUACAAAGGGUAGCGAGGUCGCGAGGCGGAGCGAAUCUCAGCAAAGCUGAUCGUAGUUCGGAUUGCAGGCUGCAACCCGCCUGCAUGAAGC
rnacentral:rRNA from 1 species